GAGGUAUGGGAAAAGUCCUGGCCUAGCCCUAUUGUCACCCCUUCUGUUCUUCAUGACCCUCUUUGUUGUCUUCUUGUUUCACAGGCAACUUCAGCAACAGCAGGCAGAAUUGGAAGUACACCAGAGAGAUGGAUUGUCAUCGUAUGACUUAUCCCAGGUCCCCGUCCCCAACCUACCAGCCGGUGUUCAUGAGACUGGGAAGUCCGUGGAAAAGGCGGAUGCAAUCUUCUCCCAGGAAAGAGAUCCUCGGUUUGCUGAAAUGUUUGCAGGAAUUAGUGCAUCGGAGAAGAAGAUGAUGAGCUCAGCCUCUGCAGCAGGAACCCAGCAGAUCUACUCCCAAGGAAGCCCAUUUCCCUCUGGACACUCUGGAAAGGCCUUCAGCUCUUCAGUGGUUCAUGUGCCUGGAGUGAAUGAUAUUCAGUCCUCUUCUUCCACGGGCCAGAACAUGUCCCAAAUCUCCCGGCAGCUAAACCAGAGUCAGGUGGCGUGGACAGGGAGUCGCCCGCCCUUUCCGGGACAGCAAAUCCCAUCUCAGUCCAGCAAGACUCAGUCAUCUCCCUUUGGGAUUGGAACGAGCCACACCUACC
rnacentral:sRNA from 1 species